UACGGACAUAUCACGCUGAAACACCGGUUCUCAUAAGAUCACCGAUGUUAAGCCAUGUCGAGCUUGGUCAGUACCUCGAUGGGUGACCGUUUGGC